rnacentral:rRNA from 1 species
UACGUAGGGACCAAGCGUUGUUCGGAUUUACUGGGCGUAAAGGGCGCGUAGGCGGCGCGGUAAGUCACUUGUGAAAUCUCUGAGCUUAACUCAGAACGGCCAAGUGAUACUGCAGUGCUAGAGUGCGGAAGGGGCAAUCGGAAUUCUUGGUGUAGCGGUGAAAUGCGUAGAUAUCAAGAGGAACACCUGAGGUGAAGACGGGUUGCUGGGCCGACACUGACGCUGAGGCGCGAAAGCCAGGGGAGCAAACGGG